rnacentral:rRNA from 1 species
CAGCAGCCACGGGAAUACAGAGGGUGCGAGCGUUAAUCGGAUUUACUGGGCGUAAAGCGUGCGUAGGCGGCUUCUUAAGUCGGAUGUGAAAUCCCUGAGCUUAACUUAGGAAUUGCAUUCGAUACUGGGAAGCUAGAGUAUGGGAGAGGAUGGUAGAAUUCCAGGUGUAGCGGUGAAAUGCGUAGAGAUCUGGAGGAAUACCGAUGGCGAAGGCAGCCAUCUGGCCUAAUACUGACGCUGUGGUACGAAAGCAUGGGGAGCAAACAGGAUUAGAUACCCCGGUAGUCCCUGUCUCUUAUAA